ensembl:lncRNA
UUCUGCCUCUCCGUGUCCCCCCCCCCUUUUGCCAACUCUGAUUCUCGGUCCAAUGAGACGGAGGUGAGACCCCCCAGGAGGCCGAGGGUGGCUUGGCAGGCGUGGAAUCCAGAAGAGGAAGAGGAGAACCAGGUGGAGAUCAUACGUCCACGUGAGUAAUUGGUGGGAAGCACUGGGGACAGCAGUCAUGCUCUACUCAAAGCUGGCAGCCACUUUUUCUGGCACCACCUUUUCUGAAACCCCCCUCCCCAGCAUGGAGUCCAGCUCUAGCUAAAGGGAUCGUGGUACCAUGGAAUCCUGGAAUGGUUGGGUGUGGAGGGGCCUCAAAGCCCUCACGGGCCCAGCCCCUGCCGUGGGCUGGUUGCCACCCACUAGAUCAGGCUGCCCGUGGCCCCAUACAGCCUUGCCUUUAGCACCUCCAAGGAUGGGGCACCUGCGGCUUCUCUGGGCAGCCUGUGCCAGUGCCAACCUCUCCCAGCCUGUUGGGAUGGCUGACGAGAGGCUGCUGCGCUGGCAGGAGGUACCCGCAUUUCCGCAGUCAGGCUCAGGGAAGCUGGCAGGAUGGAUGGCUCCGUGCAACACGCUGGGGCCAUUCCUUCCGUCACUCCUUCCCUUCAGCCCCUCUCCAUGGUGCUCAUUGUUCUCCUCCUUGCUUAGGUACUACCAUAUGGGAGCUGUGGAGAAAAGCGGCCAUUCUAUGCAUCGGUGAGUUUCUGAAGAGACAGGACAAGGUAAGAGCAGCUGCUUCCACUGUGGUGCCCCUGCUGUUCUCCAGGCUGCUGCCCUGCAGGCAUUGCACCGCGCCCCACGAUGCUUGGGGUCCUGCUGGCCAUUGAUCUCACCUUCAUGCUCCCUCUUGUUCCCUCUGCGACCACCAGGAUGAGCGACAGAAAAUCAAAUUCCUGAGCAGCAUCUGCGUACUGUGCAAAUGCAAGGACACGUCGCUCGACUUGAAUACUUUCUGCCGAGAAAACCAGCUGGCAGAGAAUGUCCAGGUGAGGAGAUAUGCACUGGGCUGGAGACGGGGGCAUGGACCCCCUGCACCUUGUGUGGACAGGACUGGCACGGGGAGAAGUGAGCACGGACGUGGAACUGUCUUCUGGUGGCUGCCACAUCCCGUCCCUCCUGUGUUCUGUAGGCGCUGAUCGAUGAGGAGGCCAUGCACGCUUUGUGCUCAGUGAUAAAGCAGAAAGUCAUGCUGACCUUUGCUGACAUGAGCACUGUGGAGACAGCACUGGAAGGCAAAACAGAGAGCAUCCUGAAUUCCUGCUUCAACAGUGUCUUCUUUUUGCCUCCGGAACUGGACGUACCAGAAGAGGAGCAAACUCUCUACACUAAGACCAUGAUUGCCAUGAACGUCAUGCUGCGAGCCUUGGUGCACAACUGCCCCAGCUCCAGAAUGAGGGAGGAGAUGUGCAGCAUCUUUCAGGUCUGGCAGCUACGGAGAGUGGGGUCACUAGGAGGGUUCCACACCCCGAGGGAUGCGCGUGUCGCUCCUGCAGUGGCACAGACCCUCCUUGCCCCAGACAGUCCUACAAAGGAUCCCAUCCCUGCUGCUCUGCUCUGCUCUGCUCUUCCUUCCCAGUGGGGAAGAUCCCAGAGCUCCUGCUGGAGCCACGCAAGCUCCCAGGGCAAGUACCAGCAGAUUCUCUCCUUGCAGGCUCUGCUCCACUUCUUCCACUCCCAGCACAUGCACGUUCGUACGAGAGCCCUGUACGGGGUUUUACGGAUGAUCACGGACUUUAUAGAAAAAGACUGGUACUGCGCUGCAAAUUGCGGGUUUAUAUAUGAGUCACUCAUCGAGGUCUACUUCCCAAUCCUGGGACAGCUGCUGGGUCACCUCUGCCUUUUCAGUUGUGGCCAACAUGCCACCAGAGUUCCAGCUACAGAUGCUCUUUAUCGCCUCUAUGCAUUUGUCAAACGCGAUAGAAGUAAGAGAAGAUGGGUUGGGCAGCAUCUCUGCGCUCCCGUGUCUGCUCGUUGUCUCCUGUUCUUGGGCACUGUUAAGCCUGGAGACCGUGGAGUCUGCAAGUUCCCUGGGCUCUUUUACUCUUCAGAGCAGCUUCAUCCUUCCUAAGCUGCCUCUCGUUCCAAGCACCCAUCACCUUUAGCUGUACAGUCCCUUUCCUCCACUCUCUUCUCCGUGGGUCCCAUCAGGCUAUGUCUGCUCACCAAUGGUCUCCAACACCACGGGUCUCCUCAGGCCUUUUCAGAUUAAAGCAGCUUUUCCCCACUUGCUGAGUUUGAUGGCAAAGACACUGUUUCCUUCUGACUCUUCUGUGUUCCCUCCCUUUUAGGAACAGCCCUGACAGAGGAGAUGGAAAAGUACGUGCAUCUCCGGGAGAAGCUGCAGGAUACUAAUUUUGCAUGCGAUAACUUGUGCAGUCCCAGUGAUUGUGCCAAGGUAACCUUCUGCCUUGCUGAGGAUCUCGUCCACAGCAUCAGCAGGAAAUGUUUGUGAGCAAAGGGAGUGUCACGGCAGCAGAUCCAGCCCUCCAGGCUGUCAGCAAGCCCUUCUUACCGACUGCCCAUGCCCCCGC